rnacentral:rRNA from 1 species
AACGAACGCUGGCGGCAUGCCUAACACAUGCAAGUCGAACGAGACCUUCGGGCUUAGUGGCGCACCGCUGCGUAACGCGUGGGAACCUGCCUUUAGGUUCGCAAUAACUCAGAGAAAUUUGACCUAAUACCGGAGGAUGUCUUCGCACCAAAGAUUUAUGGCCGUUAGAUGGGCGCGCGUUGGAUUAGCUGGUUGGUGGGGUACAGGCCUAGCAAGGCGAGGAUCCAUAGCUGGUCGGGGAGGAUGAUCUGCCACGCUGGGGCUGAGACACGGACCAGACUGCUACGGAAGGCAGCAGAGGGGAAUAUAGGACGAUGGAGGAAGGCGUGAUCCAGCAAUGCCGCGUAAGUGAUGAAGGCCGUAGGGUUGUAAAGCUCUUUUACACGAGAUGAUAAUGACGGUAUCGGGAGAAUAAGCACCGGCUAACUCCGUG